AACGCGAAGAACCUUACCAGGUCUUGACAUCCUUUGACCACUCUAGAGAUAGAGCUUCCCCUUCGGGGGCAAAGUGACAGGUGGUGCAUGGUUGUCGUCAGCUCGUGUCGUGAGAUGUUGGGUUAAGUCCCGCAACGAGCGCAACCCUUAUUGUUAGUUGCCAUCAUUUAGUUGGGCACUCUAGCGAGACUGCCGGUGACAAACCGGAGGAAGGUGGGGAUGACGUCAAAUCAUCAUGCCCCUUAUGACCUGGGCUACACACGUGCUACAAUGGGAAGUACAACGAGUUGCGAAGUCGCGAGGCUAAGCUAAUCUCUUAAAGCUUCUCUCAGUUCGGAUUGUAGGCUGCAACUCGCCUACAUGAAGCCGGAAUCGCUAGUAAUCGCGGAUCAGCACGCCGCGGUGAAUACGUUCCCGGGUCUUGUACACACCG
rnacentral:rRNA from 2 species